GCCAGGCAUGGUGAUGCAUGCCUGUAGUUCCAGCUACUCAGAAGGCUGAGGCAGGAGGAUUGUUUGAGCCAGGGAGGUCAAGGUUGCAGUGAGGUGUGACCGUGGCACUGCACUCCAGCCUGGGCAACAGAGCAAGACCCUGUCUCAA
ensembl:misc_RNA Metazoa_SRP Metazoan signal recognition particle RNA